rnacentral:rRNA from 1 species
CCCGCACAAGCGGCGGAGCAUGCGGUAUUAAUUCGAUGCAACGCGAAGAACCUUACCAAGGCUUGACAUACACCGGAAACGGCCAGAGAUGGUCGCCCCCUUGUGGUCGGUGUACAGGUGGUGCAUGGUUGUCGUCAGCUCGUGUCGUGAGAUGUUGGGUUAAGUCCCGCAACGAGCGCAACCCUCGUUCUAUGUUGCCAGCGCGUUAUGGCGGGGACUCAUAGGAGACUGCCGGGGUCAACUCGGAGGAAGGUGGGGAUGACGUCAAAUCAUCAUGCCCCUUAUGUCUUGGGCUUCACGCAUGCUACAAUGGCCGGUACAAAGGGCUGCGAUACCGUAAGGUGGAG